rnacentral:sRNA from 1 species
UGACUCUGGGCCCCCCACUUGCCUGCAGGAGGUCAUCACACAGGACUACACCCGGCACCACCCACAGCAGCUCAGCGCACCCCUGCCCGCCCCCCUCUACUCCUUCCCUGGGGCCAGCUGCCCCGUCCUGGACCUCCGCCGCCCACCCAGUGACCUCUACCUCCCGCCCCCGGACCAUGGUGCCCCGGCCCGUGGCUCCCCCCACAGCGAAGGGGGCAAGAGGUCUCCAGAGCCAGACAAGACGUCAGUCUUGGGUGGCGGUGAGGACGGUAUUGAACCUGUGUCCCCACCGGAGGGCAUGACGGAGGCAGGGCACUCCCGGAGUGCUGUGUACCCGCUGCUGUACCGGGAUGGGGAACAGACGGAGCCCAGGAUGGGCUCCAAGUCUCCAGGCAACACCAGCCAGCCGCCAGCCUUCUUCAGCAAGCUGACCGAGAGCAACUCCGCUAUGGUCAAGUCCAAGAAGCAAGAGAUCAACAAGAAGCUGAACACCCACAACCGGAAUGAGCCUGAAUACAAUAUCGGCCAGCCUGGGACGGAGAUCUUCAAUAUGCCCGCCAUCACCGGAACAGGUGGCGGCGGGAAGGCCAAGGUCUCUGGCAGACCCAGCAGCCGAAAAGCCAAGUCCCCGGCCCCGGGCCUGGCGUCUGGGGACCGGCCACCCUCUGUCUCCUCAGUGCACUCGGAGGGAGACUGCAACCGCCGGACGCCGCUCACCAACCGCGUGUGGGAGGACAGGCCCUCGUCCGCAGGUUCCACGCCAUUCCCCUACAACCCCCUGAUCAUGCGGCUGCAGGCGGGUGUCAUGGCUUCCCCACCCCCACCGGGCCUCCCCGUGGGCAGCGGGCCCCUCGCUGGCCCCCACCACGCCUGGGACGAGGAGCCCAAGCCACUGCUCUGCUCGCAGUACGAGACACUCUCCGACAGCGAGUGACUCAGAACGGGGG